rnacentral:rRNA from 1 species
GGAAUUUUGGACAAUGGGCGCAAGCCUGAUCCAGCCAUGCCGCGUGCGGGAAGAAGGCCUUCGGGUUGUAAACCGCUUUCGGCCGGAACGAAAUCGCCCGGGUGACCAUCCCGGGUGGAUGACGGUACCGGACGAAGAAGCACCGGCUAACUACGUGCCAGCAUCCGCGGUAAUACGUAGGGUGCGAGCGUUAAUCGGAAUUACGGGGCGUAAAGCGUGCGCAGGCGGGCUCGUAAGACAGGUGUGAAAUCCCCGGGCUCAACCUGGGAACUGCGCUUGUGACUGCGAGGCUGGAGUGUGGCAGAGGGAGGUGGAAUUCCACGUGUAGCAGUGAAAUGCGUAGAGAUGUGGAGGAACACCGAUGGCGAAGGCAGCCUCCUGGGCCAGCACUGACGCUCAUGCACGAAAGCGUGGGGAGCAA